UCCGGUGGUUAGAGCAAAGAGGUCACACCCGUUCCCAUCUCGAACACGGAAGUUAAGCUCUUUAGCGCCGAUGGUACUGCAUGGGUGACUGUGUGGGAGAGUAGGACACUGCCGGAUU
rnacentral:rRNA from 1 species